GUAAAUUUGUCUUCGCUUUUCUCCAAGAAAGGGGCUAGAUUGGCAGAAGCUGUACAGAAGUUGGGAAGAUAAUCCGGAUGUCGGUUUUAUUGCAUUGAAGUGGCAAGGCAUUUUGUGCGGGUGGGGAUAUGGUGUCUCUCUAUCAUUUCAGCAAGAAAAACUAAAAGAAGGAAAUAAAUUCAUACAAUUAUGAGGGAAUGGAGGAAAUGAGGACCAAAAAUUAAGGAGCCCAAACCGAUAGGGAAAGAAGAUAUACUGGUGACAUUGUGGGGGAUAUUUCAUGCAGUCUUGAUAUUGAGGCUAUCAGGA